CCGCGUCUCCUAUGUCUCCUGCAUUGGCAGGCGGAUUCUUUUCCGCUGAAACACCAGCUUUGUGGCCCCAAACGUCUGUAUUUCCAGGUUGAGUAACUCUGUGCUAGAUGGUCAAACCAAACUUCUUUUAAAAUAGGAUCCUUUGUGAUUUUCAGCACAGACAUUUGUUUGGGAAGAGCUCUUUGAAGGAGAAGAUGGCAUGUUAUAAGUCGGUGUUCUUGUCUUCUAUCACCAGGCACUUUGUCUGAAUGAAGGUGGAGAUGUCCACAGAGGUUUGCAGUCACUCCUCAGGGAGGUGAGCACGCCCGUUCCACAGAGCCUGCUCACAACUGCCAACAGACUGUUUGGGAAAAGACAUGUGAUUUCCUGCCAAAGCUAAAAUGUUUGAGGACAGGAGAUGGGCAAAGGAUGGGAGCCAAUUGCCAGGCACAUGAUAUCAGAAAACAAGUUUUCAUGAGGAAUCCUGCCAGAAGUUCUAUCAGGCUGACCUGGAGGUCCUUUGCUGAAGACACCGAAGAAUGCAGGAAACACAUAGACGACGGGACGAUGGAGAAGACGGAAGGUGAGAGCUUGUCUUUUUGGGGGCGGUGCCGUUGUGAGGGAGACAGCCG